UCUUCCUACGAUGACAAAGGGCAGAGGUUACUUCCAGCGUCAGGGUGUCAGAUUUAGGUUCUGCACAGAUUCUCUUCAGGUUUUUACAAAGGUUGACCUAGAGUACUUCCUACAGCACCGUUACCCACCCUCCCCAAAGGCAUUCGGUCACACACUCUCUCAUGAGCUGGGCUCAGGGGAGAGAUGACAAUGUUGGAAGCAACACACGUUGUUUCUCUACAUGAAGAAGUGAAGACCCAGAGAGGCACAAGCUGGCACAAGGUCUUGGGGUGAGCUGGUGGCAGAGCUGAGGCCAGAACCCCUGGCUGCGGUCUGGACUUUGUUCUCGUUCCCCACCUGGGACCAGAGGAGCACACCUGGUGCUGCUAUUUUGCAUCGCCAUAAACCCUGGACUCAGGGGCUGUCGCGCUGAAUGUCCCAGGACACAGCUGGGCAGGCCAGGGAAUGCUGGGCUCGCCUCAUUCAGACUAGAAAAUGGGCUUGUCCCAGGGUGUGAGGCCAGGCCAAGUCCACGGCACUGCAGGAGGGGACCCACUUCUACCAUGUUGCCGCCUCCUGGAAUAGAAAGGGCCAGGACACUUCUGUGACACUUGUCCUGGCCGCACACCCAUCCUGGCCUUCAUGCCCGGGGGGCUGGCAGGGCCCUUUCCUAGGCAGUGACUGUGGAUGACGGGCCUGUGGCUCUUCAAGGGAGCAGGCCUUCAUUUCUAGCACCUUCCACGGUUAGCAGCUGGCUGGGAGUCUGCCACCGGCUGAAAGCAUUCAUCAUUCCUACAAGAGGGUAACCCAUAAAUAUAAGGUUUAAUGGGAGGAAACUGUAUAACUCCCUCAAUCUUUUCCUUCUGCCGAGAGGCCUCUUCCUCAAAGUCAACCGCUAAAGCCACUUCAGAAAGUAACUGCCCAAAAUGCGCACUCAUUCCCUGGCCACCGCCUCUCAGCCACCCAGCCCCCACCUGCCUCUGCCCGCCUGGGUGUGGAACCAGCGCUGCAGCGCUGCCUGCAGCACAGCCAGAGGCCCAGCUGGAACCGGAGGGACCCGCGCCCCACCAGGCUGAUGACUAUGAGCUGGAGUCGGGGAGAGAAGUGCUCUGGGCUCCAGGAACGGACCCCACAGCUGGGGCUUCCUCUGGCACACGUGCCUGGAGCCGAGGUGCUGGGACCCCUCCCCCUGCCACCUUGGGGCCAGGAAUGCCCAGGACUGUGACUACAGAAGGCAAUGCCAAAACUCAACUGUGGGGCCUCUUUGAGACUCAUAAAGUAAAAAUAUUCGAGCUAAAUGUUGAUUGUGCUCUUAGAGGGCACUGACUGCUUCUUUUAGAAACAUCACUGUUUGCAGCAAAUCUGUUCAUUUUCUUUCCCCAGGAGGCAUUUGGCCUAAAACAAAACACAAAACCAAGUCACAACUAUCUCCAGCACCUGCUGCCACUCUGUGGGACCCAGGCUGGUCACUGCCCAUCUCUGAGCUCCAGGUGUGUCACUGCCAGAAGAGGGGAUAUGUGCAGCCCCACGCACCUCACAUGGGUGAGAAAAGGCUUCGGGGCCAGAGUGGGCCCCACGUGGCGAGCGCGAGUCCCCUCUCAUGGAGCAGCCGGGGCAGAGGCCACCGGGAGCUCGUGCUCUUCCCCUACAACCUUGGGGCCAGGGAGCCCCAGGAUCCGCAGUGGCCUCUGAAACAGCAGGCACGCAGCAGGGGCAGAGCCGACCUUGGCCUGUGCAGCUUCUCCAGCCCUGGGCACCAGCUCCUGUCCGAGGCUGCGGAGGGGCUGCUUCGUACACAGCCAAGUCAAGACGCCAGUUUCCAGGAGGCUCCGAUGGCUGCUGCACCAGGUUCCCAGGCACGUGAGGCUGGGUGUCCCCUUGCCCCAGAGGCUCUGUGGUGCCGGGCUGCUUACCCAAGGUCACAAGGUGAGCCAGUGGGGCCCCCUGGCAUUGGCUCUGGUCUCUCCAGCCAGUGAGACCAGCAGGAAGAGGCCUGCAGACUUCUCACUUGCAGAGAUGUUUGUAAAAUCUCUUUCUUACUUGGCAAAUUUUCAAGUUAGCAACACUAGGUCAGCCUCCAAAAUCCUUCAGAAAUCUGGAAGUCUGGGAGCAUGAACCCAUCAGCGUCAGCCGGACUCCUGAGUGUGCCCCGCAGGGUCUACAGCUGUCCCUGGCUCCUGCCUCACACCUCUCAGGAGCUUCCCAGCACCCAGCCAGACACUGCAGGCCUGGCAGCGCCCACCCUGCUGGAGGUGCCCUUUGCUCCUCAUGCCCAGACUCAGGGCCGGGGCCCACCUGGUAGGGCGGUGAGGAGGCAGGUGCGGCCACAGCGUGUGCUCCGUCUCGGCAGCUUUCCCCAGCACUGGAUGCUGUCAGCUUCCCUCCCACAACUUCCCUUUAUCCCUCAAGACCAGGCCGCUGGGUCCAGGAAGCCUUCAGUGACCCCCAGGGCCAGGCUCAACUGUUCCAUCACUUGCGGUCCCUCUCAGCUUGUUUCCUGACCUGCCAUCCCUCCUUUUGCAGGUUUUACCAAUACAAUUUAAAACAACAACAGAUAACUACGUCUACACCCAUCAUCCCACUCAGUCCUGCGUUUCCCACAGAGGAGGAGUGUUGUUACUGCCCUACGGUUUUCAGAUAAGGAAAGUAAACCUGAGGGUGAGCCCCCACCAAGGGCACGAGGCCAGUGAACACUGAGCCACUUCAACACCAGGCAAUGUGGCUGGGAGCAUACACCCCUCACCACGCGCCCCCCACCAUCCCGCGAUGCAGCGCACACCACAAGGGGCUCCUAGCCGCUUCCUGAUGUUGUGGUAAGAGGCAGAGCAAAGCCGGACCACUGGGCUUCUGCUCUUCUUUCUGGAACAAGCGUGUUGGAGAGGUGCCACAGCUCAGGCUGACCCUGCCCCCGUGAUGUGCAGUGAAGCUCAGGCCUUUGCACCCGGCGUCGUGCCCGAGGCUGCCAGCCCUGCAGGCUCCGGAGCAUCUCCUGUCCCAGGCGAUGCUGCGAAGCCCUGUGGCCCUGCUGUCCCUCGGUGGCCCCACUGCUGUCCUUCCUCACCCCCAUCUGGUCUGUGAAGGGUGAGGCAGAGGACAGCUCAUCCCGGCCCCAGGCUGGGCUCCCCCCCCGGGGUUUGGGGCCAGGCGUCGUCUCCAAAGGGAGGUGCAGCUCCAGCUCCUUUGGCUCCAAAUAAAGAGGCUCAAAAAGCCAGGAAGGCUCAGUUCCCCAGGGAGCUGGGUGUAAGGCAGCAGGUCCCACCAGGGAAGGGCAUUCUGUGGGCAGAGUGCUUAAGGAGCAGCUGGGUACACUGGUGGCCCCUGCAGGGCCAGGAGGAAAUGGAAUCCGUGGGACAGGGGACUGAACCAUGUCCUAAAGGACAGGAGGGAAGAGAGCAAGGUAAGAAACACACCAGCCACAGGCCACAGGUGGCAGCACAGGAGGGCUCCAAGCCAAGCCCAUGCAUGCAUUUCCCAUCUGCACAGGUCAGAGAGCCCUGACAUGUCACCUGCUGGCCAUUCCACAGAAGCCUGCAGACAUGGGAGGGCCCCACCUGCCACCCAGGCCAUCAGCCCCUCUUAGGAGCUCCAUGCCCCACAGGCUCCAGGCUGACUAGGCUGUCCUCAUCACCUUCCACAGCAAAGUCACUCCAGCACCUCCAGUCUCAGCUCAGCCUCAGACACUGGGCCGACGACUAGGGCCACCUGCAGCUGGCGGCAGGACAGAGCGGCCAGGCAAAGAAGAACUGAGAGCAGGAUCUUGAAGACAUCCCUGAACACCAUGUUCAUAGCAGCCUUAUUCACAUUCGCCAAGAGGUGGAGGCAACCGAAUGUCCAUCACAGAUACGUAGACAAACACAAAAUGCCACAGAGACGACACUGGAUCGUUCAGCCAUGAGAGCAAGGCCGUGCCAACACAUGCCACAACACAGAUGACCCUUGAGGACAUGAUGCAAAGUGAGAUAUGCCAGAGUCGGAAAAGGGCAAAUCCCGCAGGACCCACUUAUAUGAGGUCCCUAGCACCACAGACAGGAGGUAGAAUGGGGGUGCCAGGGGCUGGGGGAGGGGGAGUGAGUGUUGAAUGGGGACAGAGUUUUAGGCUGGCAAGAUGAGAAAGUUCUGGAGGUGGCUGGUGGUGAUGGCUGCACAACACUGUGAGUGGACUUAAUGCUUCCAGACCUGAACACUUAAAAAGGGUUAAAAUGGUAAAUUUUAUGUUACACAUAUUGUACCACAAUAAAA